rnacentral:rRNA from 1 species
GAUGAACGCUGGCGGCGUGCCUAAUACAUGCAAGUCGAGCGAACAGAUGAGGAGCUUGCUCCUCUGACGUUAGCGGCGGACGGGUGAGUAACACGUGGAUAACCUACCUAUAAGACUGGGAUAGCUUCGGGAAACCGGAGCUAAUACCGGAUAAUAUAUUGAACCGCAUGGUUCAAUAGUGAAAGACGGUUUUGCUGUCACUUAUAGAUGGAUCCGCGCCGCAUUAGCUAGUUGGUAAGGUAACGGCUUACCAAGGCAACGAUGCGUAGCCGACCUGAGAGGGUGAUCGGCCACACUGGAACUGAGACACGGUCCAGACUCCUACGGGAGGCAGCAGUAGGGAAUCUUCCGCAAAGGGCGAAAGCCUGACGGAGCAACGCCGCGUGAGUGAUGAAGGCCUUCGGAUCGUAAAACUCUGUUAUUAGGGAAGAACAAAUGUGUAAGUAACUAUGCACGUCUUGACGGUACCUAAUCAGAAAGCCACGGCUAACUACGUG